rnacentral:rRNA from 1 species
AUGAACGCUAGCUACAGGCUUAACACAUGCAAGUCGAGGGGCAGCAUGAACUUAGCUUGCUAAGUUUGAUGGCGACCGGCGCACGGGUGAGUAACACGUAUCCAACCUGCCGAUGACUCGGGGAUAGCCUUUCGAAAGAAAGAUUAAUACCCGAUGGCAUAGUUCUUCCGCAUGGUAGAACUAUUAAAGAAUUUCGGUCAUCGAUGGGGAUGCGUUCCAUUAGGUUGUUGGCGGGGUAACGGCCCACCAAGCCUUCGAUGGAUAGGGGUUCUGAGAGGAAGGUCCCCCACAUUGGAACUGAGACACGGUCCAAACUCCUACGGGAGGCAGCAGUGAGGAAUAUUGGUCAAUGGACGAGAGUCUGAACCAGCCAAGUAGCGUGAAGGAUGACUGCCCUAUGGGUUGUAAACUUCUUUUAUACGGGAAUAAAGUGAGGCACGUGUGCCUUUUUGUAUGUACCGUAUGAAUAAGGAUCGGCUAACUCCGUGCCAGCAGCCGCGGUAAUACGGAGGAUCCGAGCGUUAUCCGGAUUUAUUGGGUUUAAAGGGAGCGUAGGCGGACGCUUAAGUCAGUUGUGAAAGUUUGCGGCUCAACCGUAAAAUUGCAGUUGAUACUGGGUGUCUUGAGUACAGUAGAGGCAGGCGGAAUUCGUGGUGUAGCGGUGAAAUGCUUAGAUAUCACGAAGAACUCCGAUUGCGAAGGCAGCUUGCUGGACUGUAACUGACGCUGAUGCUCGAAAGUGUGGGUAUCAAACAGGAUUAGAUACCCUGGUAGUCCACACAGUAAACGAUGAAUACUCGCUGUUUGCGAUAUACAGUAAGCGGCCAAGCGAAAGCGUUAAGUAUUCCACCUGGGGAGUACGCCGGCAACGGUGAAACUCAAAGGAAUUGACGGGGGCCCGCACAAGCAGCGGAGCAUGUGGCUUAAUUCGAAGCAACGCGAAGAACCUUACCAGGUCUUGACAUCCGAUGCAUAGUGCAGAGAUGCAUGAAGUCCUUCGGGACAUCGAGACAGGUGGUGCAUGGUUGUCGUCAGCUCGUGUCGUGAGAUGUUGGGUUAAGUCCCGCAACGAGCGCAACCCCUGUUUCUAGUUGCCAGCAUGUAAAGAUGGGAACUCUAGAAAGACUGCCGUAGAUAAUACGGAGGAAGGUGGGGAUGACGUCAAAUCAGCACGGCCCUUACGUCCGGGGCUACACACGUGUUACAAUGGGGGGUACAGAAGGCAGCUACACGGCGACGUGAUGCUAAUCCCAAAAGCCUCUCUCAGUUCGGAUUGGAGUCUGCAACCCGACUCCAUGAAGCUGGAUUCGCUAGUAAUCGCGCAUCAGCCACGGCGCGGUGAAUACGUUCCCGGGCCUUGUACACACCGCCCGUCACACCAUGAGAGUUGGGGAUACCCGAAGCCUGUGAGCCAACAGUUAAAUGGGGCAGCAGUCGAAGGUAGAAUCAAUGAUUGGGGUG